CUUGUUUGAUCUAACUAUUUUAAAUUGUGACCAUAGCCAAACAUGUUUAUUUAAAAAUUGUACCACUAGACUGCUGCUAGGCCUCUGAUGUGCCAACACUAUCAGUAAUCCAUGCUGCGCCUUGCAAGUGUUUUUUUGUGCUUGCUUCCCCAACAUAUCCAUAAUGCACACUACAUCUUUGCCUCAACGUAAACUUCUGAACUACUUGACUCUAAUCUAUUCCCAGCCUUAACAUAGCAGAUUGUCCUCCAUGAAAGGUCCCCAUUCCCAGCUGUCCAGAGUCCUUGUAUCUCUGACUUCUGUGAUCACAAGGGGAGAUGUGAAGCACCUUGUCUCUCUUAAUUUUGCAAUCUAUGACAACUGUGGUUUCAGAUGAAGUUUCUAUUGUUAGAAUGCUUGUUAUGUUCUGAUGGUUACUUGAGGAGGUGUUGAAUAUGUGUCCCUGCCUCCAUAUGCCCUUCUGCUGUCUUGCCCAUCUCCUUGACUCCACUUCGGUAAUAAACUUGUCUGUGACUGCAGCAUCACUGCAUAAGCUCAGGUUUGAAAUCUACUAAAGAUUAAAGAAGUACCUUGGUGCUUGGGACUCAACGUUGCUUCAGAAAUAAAAGUGAGAACAGACCGAUACCAUGAAGCAGCAUGCAUCAGAGGACUGGGACAUCCUUCAUACCAGCAUCCCACUAACAGACUAUGGGCUUCUGAGUGGACUCAACCUGAAUUCUGAAUGUGUUCAGAUGAGGAAAAGAACCAACAUAUCAUGAAAUUAUGGAAAGAUCUUACAGGUGGACAAUUCGUUACCUGAUGAUUUGCCUUCACCAAGUAAGCUCCUGUACUGUGACACAACUGGGCCUUUUCUGGCACUGAAGAUGCGUGCUCCUCUGAGAAAAAAAAGUUUAAUUAAGUAAUACUAAGCAAACCUCUGCUUGAAGUCUCCAUAGAGGAUCCUGUUAGGGAAGCCUUUCCUACAGAUCCUGAUGCCUUCCAGGACACCGUUACAGCG